rnacentral:rRNA from 1 species
CAGUCGCCGCGGUAAUACGUAGGUGGCAAGCGUUGUCCGGAAUUAUUGGGCGUAAAGGGCUCGCAGGCGGUUUCUUAAGUCUGAUGUGAAAGCCCCCGGCUCAACCGGGGAGGGUCAUUGGAAACUGGGAAACUUGAGUGCAGAAGAGGAGAGUGGAAUUCCACGUGUAGCGGUGAAAUGCGUAGAGAUGUGGAGGAACACCAGUGGCGAAGGCGACUCUCUGGUCUGUAACUGACGCUGAGGAGCGAAAGCGUGGGGAGCGAACAGGAUUAGAUACCGUGUAGUCCCUGUCUCUUAUACA